CCUACGGGAGGCAGCAGUGGGGAAUAUUGGACAAUGGGGGAAACCCUGAUCCAGCGACGCCGCGUGAGUGAAGAAGUAUUUCGGUAUGUAAAGUUCUAUCAGCAGGAAAGAAAAUGACGGUAUCUGACUAAUAAGCCCCGGCUAACUACGUGCCAGCAGCCGCGGUAAUACGUAGGGGGCAAGCGUUACCCGGAUUUACUGGGCGUAAAGGGAGCGUAGACGGGAGCGCAAGUCUGGGGUGAAAUGCCAGGGCUCAACCCCGGAACUGCUCUGGAAACUGUGAAGCUGGAGUGCAGGAGAGGUAGGCGGAAUUCCUGGUGUAGCGGUAAAAUGCGUAGAGAUCAGGAGGAACA
rnacentral:rRNA from 1 species